ensembl:lncRNA novel transcript
AGCAUUACAUCACAGAUGUGUGAGCACCUACACAAAGCCUGCAAAUGCUGGACAGGGAACCUCGUGCAAAUAAUAUGGCAGUAUUGGCAGGAAUGAUGGAGGAAUCCCUUUAAAAUGUACACUUCAGGCAGCAGCAGCUAACAGAAGGCCUGACCAUCAGAAGGGAAAAUGCACAUGCAGAUGAAUGUGUGGCAGCACUGGGAUCCUCCAGAUAUCCAGUUGAUUAUGAGAACUAUGACUAUCUGCAUAGUCAGAGUCAUUCUUUGGAAUCAGACAGAUGUGUAUGGGCUGGAGUAUGUACAUAUUAGGGCCAUAACAAUUCUGAAAACUGGUGACGAGAAGCCACUCACCAUUUGCUACUAACAGCUCAAAGGUGAAGAAUAUUCCAUUAAAUAAAGCACUAAAGAAGAUAAGCCUCUCCUCAGGCGACAAAGGGCCAACCCCAAAUGAAGUCCAUGCUGCGGGUCUUAAGGUCAUCUGCUCAUAAGAAACUGGUCACUUCUGGUGUGAGUUAAGAUGAAUGGAGAGAGAAUUGGUUCCCAGAGACCACAGUGAAAAAGGUUAAGAACAUAAUAAAGACCGUAAGUUCCCCAAA